GGUUAAGCGACUAAGCGUACACGGUGGAUGCCCUGGCAGUCAGAGGCGAUGAAGGACGUGCUAAUCUGCGAUAAGCGUCGGUAAGGUGAUAUGAACCGUUAUAACCGGCGAUUUCCGAAUGGGGAAACCCAGUGUGUUUCGACACACUAUCAUUAACUGAAUCCAUAGGUUAAUGAGGCGAACCGGGGGAACUGAAACAUCUAAGUACCCCGAGGAAAAGAAAUCAACCGAGAUUCCCCCAGUAGCGGCGAGCGAACGGGGAGCAGCCCAGAGCCUGAAUCAGUGUGUGUGUUAGUGGAAGCGUCUGGAAAGGCGCGCGAUACAGGGUGACAGCCCCGUACACAAAAAUGCACAUGCUGUGAGCUCGAUGAGUAGGGCGGGACACGUGGUAUCCUGUCUGAAUAUGGGGGGACCAUCCUCCAAGGCUAAAUACUCCUGACUGACCGAUAGUGAACCAGUACCGUGAGGGAAAGGCGAAAAGAACCCCGGCGAGGGGAGUGAAAAAGAACCUGAAACCGUGUACGUACAAGCAGUGGGAGCACGCUUAGGCGUGUGACUGCGUACCUUUUGUAUAAUGGGUCAGCGACUUAUAUUCUGUAGCAAGGUUAACCGAAUAGGGGAGCCGAAGGGAAACCGAGUCUUAACUGGGCGUUAAGUUGCAGGGUAUAGACCCGAAACCCGGUGAUCUAGCCAUGGGCAGGUUGAAGGUUGGGUAACACUAACUGGAGGACCGAACCGACUAAUGUUGAAAAAUUAGCGGAUGACUUGUGGCUGGGGGUGAAAGGCCAAUCAAACCGGGAGAUAGCUGGUUCUCCCCGAAAGCUAUUUAGGUAGCGCCUCGUGAAUUCAUCUCCGGGGGUAGAGCACUGUUUCGGCAAGGGGGUCAUCCCGACUUACCAACCCGAUGCAAACUGCGAAUACCGGAGAAUGUUAUCACGGGAGACACACGGCGGGUGCUAACGUCCGUCGUGAAGAGGGAAACAACCCAGACCGCCAGCUAAGGUCCCAAAGUCAUGGUUAAGUGGGAAACGAUGUGGGAAGGCCCAGACAGCCAGGAUGUUGGCUUAGAAGCAGCCAUCAUUUAAAGAAAGCGUAAUAGCUCACUGGUCGAGUCGGCCUGCGCGGAAGAUGUAACGGGGCUAAACCAUGCACCGAAGCUGCGGCAGCGACGCUGAUGCGUUGUUGGGUAGGGGAGCGUUCUGUAAGCCUGCGAAGGUGUGCUGUGAGGCAUGCUGGAGGUAUCAGAAGUGCGAAUGCUGACAUAAGUAACGAUAAAGCGGGUGAAAAGCCCGCUCGCCGGAAGACCAAGGGUUCCUGUCCAACGUUAAUCGGGGCAGGGUGAGUCGACCCCUAAGGCGAGGCCGAAAGGCGUAGUCGAUGGGAAACAGGUUAAUAUUCCUGUACUUGGUGUUACUGCGAAGGGGGGACGGAGAAGGCUAUGUUGGCCGGGCGACGGUUGUCCCGGUUUAAGCGUGUAGGCUGGUUUUCCAGGCAAAUCCGGAAAAUCAAGGCUGAGGCGUGAUGACGAGGCACUACGGUGCUGAAGCAACAAAUGCCCUGCUUCCAGGAAAAGCCUCUAAGCAUCAGGUAACAUCAAAUCGUACCCCAAACCGACACAGGUGGUCAGGUAGAGAAUACCAAGGCGCUUGAGAGAACUCGGGUGAAGGAACUAGGCAAAAUGGUGCCGUAACUUCGGGAGAAGGCACGCUGAUAUGUAGGUGAAGUCCCUUGCGGAUGGAGCUGAAAUCAGUCGAAGAUACCAGCUGGCUGCAACUGUUUAUUAAAAACACAGCACUGUGCAAACACGAAAGUGGACGUAUACGGUGUGACGCCUGCCCGGUGCCGGAAGGUUAAUUGAUGGGGUUAGCGCAAGCGAAGCUCUUGAUCGAAGCCCCGGUAAACGGCGGCCGUAACUAUAACGGUCCUAAGGUAGCGAAAUUCCUUGUCGGGUAAGUUCCGACCUGCACGAAUGGCGUAAUGAUGGCCAGGCUGUCUCCACCCGAGACUCAGUGAAAUUGAACUCGCUGUGAAGAUGCAGUGUACCCGCGGCAAGACGGAAAGACCCCGUGAACCUUUACUAUAGCUUGACACUGAACAUUGAGCCUUGAUGUGUAGGAUAGGUGGGAGGCUUAGAAGUGUGGACGCCAGUCUGCAUGGAGCCGACCUUGAAAUACCACCCUUUAAUGUUUGAUGUUCUAACGUUGACCCGUAAUCCGGGUUGCGGACAGUGUCUGGUGGGUAGUUUGACUGGGGCGGUCUCCUCCUAAAGAGUAACGGAGGAGCACGAAGGUUGGCUAAUCCUGGUCGGACAUCAGGAGGUUAGUGCAAUGGCAUAAGCCAGCUUGACUGCGAGCGUGACGGCGCGAGCAGGUGCGAAAGCAGGUCAUAGUGAUCCGGUGGUUCUGAAUGGAAGGGCCAUCGCUCAACGGAUAAAAGGUACUCCGGGGAUAACAGGCUGAUACCGCCCAAGAGUUCAUAUCGACGGCGGUGUUUGGCACCUCGAUGUCGGCUCAUCACAUCCUGGGGCUGAAGUAGGUCCCAAGGGUAUGGCUGUUCGCCAUUUAAAGUGGUACGCGAGCUGGGUUUAGAACGUCGUGAGACAGUUCGGUCCCUAUCUGCCGUGGGCGCUGGAGAACUGAGGGGGGCUGCUCCUAGUACGAGAGGACCGGAGUGGACGCAUCACUGGUGUUCGGGUUGUCAUGCCAAUGGCACUGCCCGGUAGCUAAAUGCGGAAGAGAUAAGUGCUGAAAGCAUCUAAGCACGAAACUUGCCCCGAGAUGAGUUCUCCCUGACUCCUUGAGAGUCCUGAAGGAACGUUGAAGACGACGACGUUGAUAGGCCGGGUGUGUAAGCGCAGCGAUGCGUUGAGCUAACCGGUACUAAUGAACCGUGAGGCUUAACCUU
rnacentral:rRNA from 1 species